GUAAAAUAAACUUUCUGUUCGAUUUUGGGGCCCUCGUGAUGUGGGGGCCCCGGGCAACUGCUCCGUAUACCCCUGCCUUUGUCAUGCUCGGCUGACCUGUGCAAUCUCAAUGGAAAGCCCAUCAGAUGGUUUUAGAAAUUUGCUACCCAGUCAUAAACUUUCCCUUAUUUCUCACGUUAUAUGUGGCAUCGGUUUUGCGACUGUCAUCUACGUUUAAAUUUGGUGCAGACGAUUACAUCCUUAUGUAAUGCCAGAUAUAAUUAUCACUUUGUCGCCUUAUUAAAUGCUUUCUCAUUGUAUGAACUUGUUUCGUUCCACUUGAAUUAUUUCAAGUAACUUUUUUAACUCCUCUGCACCAAAUUUUAUUGCUGUCAUCAUUGACAUAUUUAUUGACCUGAAUUUUAUGUAUUUAUAGAGCAGUUUUUUUUAAUACUAUUUUAUAUAUGCCAGCAGCUAGUAUUUUUCAGAAAAUUACUUACUGAUGAUUACAGGUAAAGAUGUCGUUUUGUGCGUGGAUUAGCGAUGAAAAGUAUCGGGAUACAUUCAAAACAGAAACUAUUCAUGAAGACAGUGUUGUAAAAAGAAAAGAAGCAUUUAGGCCUUCUCUUACCUAUAAAGUAUCUUGUGGCAAAUGUGGAUAUGGAUUGGGCCAUGAAUUUGUUGGCGAUGGCCCUGAUGAGAAAUCAAGAUUCU